GUCUACGGCCAUACCACCCUCAACGCACCCAAUCUCGUCUGAUCUCGGAAGCUAAGCAGGGUCGGACCUGGUUAGUACUUGGAUGGGAGAAUGCUAACAAUCACAUAUUGUAUGCU
rnacentral:rRNA from 1 species